rnacentral:rRNA from 1 species
AGUGAACGCUGGCGGCGUGCUUAACACAUGCAAGUCGAACGAGAACGGAAUAUAGCUUGCUAUAUUUGUCAGCUAAGUGGCGCACGGGUGAGUAAUGUAUAGAUAACCUGCCCUUAAGAAAGGAAUAACAGUUGGAAACGACUGCUAAUGCCCUAUAUGCCUUUAAUACAUAAGCAUGCAAGGGAAACGCUUUAGUGCUUAAGGAUGGGUCUGUAUGGUAUCAGCUUGUUGGUGAGGUAAUGGCUCACCAAGGCUAUGACGCCUAACUGGUUUGAGAGGAUGAUCAGUCACACUGGAACUGAGACACGGUCCAGACUCCUACGGGAGGCAGCAGUGGGGAAUAUUGCACAAUGGACGAAAGUCUGAUGCAGCAACGCCGCGUGGAGGAUGACACAUUUCGGAGCGUAAACUCCUUUUAUAUAGGAAGAUAAUGACGGUACUAUAUGAAUAAGCACCGGCUAACUCCGUGCCAGCCGCCGCGGUAA